AGAGCAUCUGCCAUACUUAAGAAAAUUUCUAUUCAACAGGGAAAAUGUGGUCAUGGGUUGGACAACAAAGGCAAUGAUUGUCCACCAACUAAAACAAAUACCCUGGACCGGGUACAUUGUAAAACAAAACACCAGUCCAAACUUCUGACAUUCCCAACCAGAUUCAUAGGAUUUUAUUUUUUUCUUUUCAGAGAUUAAUGAGAAACAAAAUAAGACACCCAAAUUUAAAGGCAUGCCAGAAUAAUCUUUCUUCUGGGACUCUAGCCAGCUGUAUUUAUGGUCCAUCUCAUGCACAUUUCUCAAUUGAUGGGGAAAUUACACCAAAAGUAAUUUAGAAUUACAAUGGCCAUUAUGUGGGACAUUCCAGAUGAACUUUCAAGAACUGCAUUUUAAGAAGAGAAUUUAAAAUUGGAAGGGGUCGGUCUCUGCAGAGCCAGGAGGGGAAGCGAUGGCUGGGCCCGGGUGGAUCUCCAAGGUCUGUCUGCUGCUGGGGGUAUUCCACAACCCAAAACAGGUGACUAGAGGUUUUACUGAUGUUGUUCAGCCAGUGACUUUAAUUCCAGGAGAUGGUAUUGCCCCAGAAAUUUCAGCUGCAGUUAUGAAGAUUUUUGAUGCUGCCUAAGCACCUAUUCAGUGGGAGGAGCGGAACGUCACUGCCAUUCAAGGACCUGGAGGAAAGUGGACGAUCCCUUUGGAGGCUAAAGAGUCCAUGGAUAAGAACAAGAUGGGCUUGAAAGGCCCAUUGAAGACCCCAAAAGCAGCCGGUCACCCAUCUAUGAAUUUGCCGCUGCGCAAAACAUUGGAGCUUUACACAAAUGUCCGGCCAUGUGUCUCUAUCUAAGGCUAUAAAACCCCUUACACCGAUGUAAAUAUUGUGACCAUUCGAGAGAACACAGAAGGAGAAUACAGUGGAAUUGAGCAUGUGAUCAUUGAUGAAGUUGUGCAGAGUAUCAAGCUCAUCACCGAGGGGGCGAGCAAGCCCAUUGCUGAGUUUGCCUUUGAGUAUGCCCGGAACAACCACCGGAACAAAGUCACGGCGGUGCACAAAGCCAACAUCAUGCGGAUGUUAGACGGGCUUUUUCUACAAAAAUGCAGGGAAGUUGUAGAAAACUGUACAGAUAUUAAAUUUAAUGAGAUGUACCUUGAUACAGUAUGUUUGAAUAUGGUACAAGAUUCUUCCCAAUUUGAUGUUGUUGUUAUGCCAAAUUUGUAUGGAGACAUCCUUAGUGACCUGUGGGCAGGAUUGAUCGGAGGUCUUGGUGUGACGCCAAGUGGCAACAUUGGAGCCAAUGGGGUUGCAAUUUUUGAGUCGAUUCAUGGGACGGCUCUAGACAGUGCAGGCAAGGACAUUGCAGGCAAGGACAUGGCGAAUCCCAGAGCCCUCCUGCUCAGUUCUGUGAUGAUGUUGCGCCACAUGGGACUUUUUGACCAUGCUGCAAGAAUUGAGGCCACGUGUUUUGCUACAAUUAAAGAUGGAAAGAGCUUGACAAAAGAUUUGGGAGGCAAUGCAAAAUGCUCAGACUUCACAGAGGAAAUCUGUCGCCGAGUAAAGAUUUAGAUUAACGCUUCUACAACUGGUAUUUGCAUCAGUCACUCUAAAUGGACCCCACAUAAACCUCUGUUUAGAAUACCUAGGGAUGUAUGCUUUGGUUUACUUGUUUCUUGACAAUACAUUUUUAGAUCUGGCCUUUUCUUAACAAAAUCUGUGCAAAAGAUGCAUGCGGGUGGAUGUCCCUAGGUCUGUUUUCAAAGAACUUUCUCCAAGUGCUUAUUUUGUUUAUUAAGUGUCUACCUGCUAAAUGUUUUUUUUUUUUUUUUUUGUAAAAUCUGAGUGGACUGUAUCAUUUGCUAUUCUAAACCAUCUUACACUUAAGUUAAAAUAGUUUAUCUUCAGCUGUAAAUAUCAGGAUACAGAAUUAACAAGAGAAAAUGUCAAACUUUUUAAGAAAAACCUUGUUUUCUUUGGUUUUUGAAAAACAUAAUGGAAAUAAAACAGGAUAUUGAUGUAAUAGCACAAAAUGACACUCUUAUAAAACUAAAUGGCACAAGAGAAAUUUCCUGGGAAAGUUCACAUCAAAAAGAGUGAAUGUGGUAUAUUUCUAAAUGAAAUGGAAAAUAGAGACAGAUUUGUCCUUCACAGUAGAGUAUGAAUAAAAACUUCACAUCCAAGAAAUAUA